UUAUGCUUGUAAAUGUCGAAGAAAUGGACGUUGUACGGAACACAACCUAGCUUGUGAUGACAAAACAAAACGGAUUCAUAUUAUUUCCGGUUACUAUGGCUUCACAUAUUGGUACUCGUGCUUUUUUAAGGAUUAUUAUGAUCUCGAUGAAGACUGUCUUCCUGGAUUUAAUGCCACAGUCCGUUCGAAUCUUAUAGAUUCAUGCAAUGGAAAGACGACAUGUAACUUUCAAACACCAAUUCCAGAUUUUAAAUAUUGCUCUAUAAAAAUCGAUUUCUAUGGCAGAAGAAAAUACGUUGGUCAUGAUACAUACUCCUACCAUGCGUAUGAGCAUUAUACAUACUCCUACAUACAGUUUGAAUGCUUGGCAGUCACAACUGCCUUGCCCACCAGAAGCACGAUCCCUACAACAGUUACAAUAAAGUCGACUGAUAUAGACAGUUCCAAACAUGAAAAAUCCAGAGAAUCCUACACUCCUGAAGAUGUAUCUGGAAGAACAGAAGUAAUCUUAAAUACUAUGGCCAUGGUUUUAAAUAAAGAUACACAAGUAGAUACGGCUGCUAUUGCUGGAAGCGCUGUGGGGUGUAUUCUUCUGAUCAUAUUAGUAAUUAUAGUUGCCGUCAUACUAAAACGAAGAAUGAUUGGGGCUUUGAUCGACAGUCGCUUGAAAGGCAGUCCAAGAGUGUCCAAUCCAGUAUACGAAGCACCUGGCGAUGGUUACAAUAAUGUUAUUUUCAAGAACGAUAAUUCUCCAUCUGUAAACGUGAUUAAAUCAGCAGACGAUUACAAUUAUUUACAUGAUGCCACGACCGAUAACUCAAUGACAACUGGUAACACGUACAACUAUCUGGGGCAAAUGGGUAGUGAUUAUAACCAUUUACAUGGAGCCUAUAAUCAUCUUGGUAUGGUAAAUAAUAAGACGAAGAAUUCAGAAGAACUUCACAAUGCCAACUACAACCAUAUUGGUGGGUGGAAGGUUGACAAACCUGAUGUUGACUAUAACCAUCUUCAUGGUGACAAGAAUGAUAUUCCAAAAGCCGAUUAUAACCACCUAGGCGAAAACAAGAAGACAGCAAUUUCAAAUGACUACAACCAUAUAAGGGACAUAACCAACGAGACGACUGGUGAUGUCCAGGGAGAACAUCAGGAAGAUGUUCAGUACGAGAUAGCUGACGAUCAAAGGGGAUAUUACUCCAAUAUUUCUGAACGGCAAUCGGACUAUGAAAAUGUUCGCAUUUCGGGUCAUCAAACUUGUGGGUAGUUUCAGAACUGAUGUUCCUACAAUUGCUAACCUACACGAUAGUAUUAUCAUUCUGUAUAGAGUAGUAAAAUAUUUAACAAAUUAUAUUUAUAGUUUGUUCAUUGUACGCCUAAAAUUGAAAGCCCCUGCUCCAAUGCGAACCACAACAGGUGGUAAAUGAGAUUAAUAUUUAAGAUGCUUUAUUAUUUUAAGAUAGUCUAUUGUUUUUGCAGAUAAUUGAUGACAUAGAUUUGUAUUUUACUAUGUUUUAGUUACAAUUUAUUUAUUUUAUAUGGGGAUUUCAUUUUGAUAAAAUGCUUUAUUUUGUAUUUUAAUAUAUGGAAAUUAUAGUUAGUGCAUUUCAUAUUUUUAUGGCGAUAUAUAACGUCUUCAUUAGCCCAGUUGGAGUAGAAUAGUAGGACGUUAAACCUAUUUAAUUUAUAUUAUUAUUAAGUAUUGUAGUUAUAGUUUGUUGAUAUCGGCCCGGCUUUUCAAAGCUCUGUUAGCUUAUAACGACACUUUAACAUGGAGUUAACGGAUCGUUAUCUUUAACGGAAAGAAAGUCGGUUGCUGGAAGCCCCGUUAAGUUUAACAUGUCGUUAAUUUGCCGUUGUAUUUAAUGAAGGGGUUGGGGCUCCAUUAUCUGUUUAACGAUGUCAGUUGAAGAAUACCCUUAGCAAAAAGUUAUAUAUUACCAGUGUAGUUUUCUAUAGAAUUCUACAGAACAUUCUAGGGGGUUAGGGAUAUCCUAUUUCCUGUAGGAAAUAACGGCCCCAAAUAUUCUAAAGUUUCUGUAGUACAAUUCCUAUAAUUGUUUCUACAGAUUUAUGAUAAAAUUUCUAUAGAAAAAUACUAUAUCGUUUUCUUAUAGUGAUUUCUGUAGGAAAUUCUAAAGUAAUCUUUUUGUCUUUAACCAGGUAGUGUGAACAGACUGCAUCGUUCUCCCACUGUCUUCAGUUUCUGAUUAAUAAUAAAUUCUAUGCAGUUGAAUAUGUGCAUUGAAUUUAAAAAUGUAAAAUUCAGCCAUUGACCUAACAGUCUUCUCUUUUAUUAACUUUAAUCAGUUCGUUAGAUAACGGAUAAUGAAAUUGACUUUCCACAACUAACGAUCCAUUAAAAUAACUGAGAUUUGAGCAACCUGCCCAGGUCAUAAAUGAAAGACACUAUAAUUCUAAUUUAAUAUGAAAGUAAAAUAUAAAAUGUUUUAUUAUUUUAAAGUGGUUUUGAUGUUAUAAAUUACUGUUUUCAGCUGCUCAUUUUAUAUCGUGACUAGCUGUUUAUAGGAGUUUAGUAAAAGUAAAGUCCGAAAUCGGAAGUGAUAGUGGCAAGCCACCCGACAUAUCCUGCUGUCCUUACACCCCUUAUGUCUACCCCGGGAAGUCCUAGUGUAGCCGGCAACCCAUAACGGACGACGGUCACAAAUGUAAUAUAUAAUGGAAAGUAAACCAUAACUUGGUUUAUUAUUUAUCAUAUAUCUCCUACAUAGUUUAUUAGGCGGUAUUAACAAAUAAUGUUCAAUCUAUGCCUGCUCGUCUUACCUGCUGCGUGCCUUACGGAUCGGUGCUCGGUCCAAUAUUGCUUCCGCUAUACUGCCAUAAUUUAGCUGGUAUUAUCGCUAAACAUGAUCAUGAUCAUCAUAUUAUUAUUUAUCAUAUAUUGUCGACAUAGUUUAUUACAGUUAUAGUUUGUUAAUUUUUAUAUAGCGAUAGUUGAACAAAGAAAUAAAAUGCCUUUUCAUUUUAA